rnacentral:rRNA from 1 species
UACGUAGGGACCGAGCGUUGUCCGGAAUCAUUGGGCGUAAAGAGCGUGUAGGCGGCCACUUAAGUCCUGCGUGAAAUCUUGCGGCUCAACCGCAAGCGGUCGUGGGAAACUGGGUGGCUAGAGUGCGGGAGAGGAGAGUGGAAUUCCUGGUGUAGCGGUGGAAUGCGCAGAUAUCGGGAAGAACACCCGUGGCGAAGGCGGCUCUCUGGGACGGUACUGACGCUGAGACGCGAAAGCCAGGGGAGCAAACGGG